rnacentral:ncRNA from 2 species
UUCGAGGGUCGCGACUGGCGUUGAGAUGGAUACCAUCGGGGAGCGACUGGCACGGACCGACCGCACGCCUGGGCCGGUACG